UUCAGUGGCCUCAUGGUACAUUUUGCCGCUUAGUUACUAGCGAUCGACGCAGUGCAUCCUUUAUCACUCGCCUACUCUUUCUUUAUUUCAUUUGAACUCAAUUUAAAUGAUUCACUGUUCCGUAUGAUCGCCACUACUACUCUAUUCCCGUCUCCAAAGCGCAUCGUUCCAUUCAAUUUCUAUCGCCGUCUCUAUUCCUCUGGCGACGGUGCUGCUGCCGCUGGUGACGGACCAUCGAAAUUGAGUUUUAGAGGCGGCGGAGACCGUGUUUCUUUGAGGAAAAUGGAGUUGAUACGGGCAGUUAUCCGCGGCGGCGACGGUGGCUGUUUUAAAGGAGGCGGAGAUGCAGGUGAUGAUGGUAAAGCGUUGAAAAUUGAAGCUGAUAGCGGCGGGGACGAUGUUUUUGAUGCAACCGCUGUUGAUUCAAGGGUUCCGCCUAAUCAUCUCGUUAUUAUGGUUAACGGCAUAGCUGGCAGUUCUACAGAUUGGAAGUAUGCUGCAGAGCAAUUUGUGAAAAAACUUCCUGAUAAAGUAUUAGUGCAUUGCAGCGAAUGCAACUACUCCAAACUGACAUUUGAUGGUGUAGAUUUGAUGGGUGAAAGGCUAGCUAAAGAGGUAUUGGCUGUUGUCAAACACAAGCCUGAUAUGAAGAAGAUCUCCUUUGUGGCUCACUCAUUAGGGGGUCUUAUUGCAAGGUAUGCUAUUGCGAGGCUGUAUGAAAAUUUACCAAAAUUAGGCCUCGCAAGUGUUUCUGGUAAUUCCUUAAAUGAAGAACGUGAUAAUUCAAUGGAAUGCGCUGAGCCGGCUUGUGAAGCUAGAAUUGCUGGAUUAGAACCCAUGAACUUUAUAACAUUUGCAACACCACAUCUUGGUUCAAGAGGAAAUAAACAGCUGCCAUUUCUUUGUGGUCUCUCUUUUCUGGAGAGAAGAGCUUGUCAGACUGCUCAUUUAAUUGUUGGGAGGACUGGAAAGCAUCUCUUUCUCACUGACAAUGAUGAUGGGAAACCUCCUCUUCUACUUCAAAUGGUUAAUGAUUCGAAUGACCUAAAAUUCAUAUCAGCUUUACGUGCAUUUAAGCGCCGUGCUGCAUAUGCAAAUGCAAAUUAUGACCAUAUGGUUGGGUGGAGGACUUCAUCAAUUAGACGUCAAGCUGAACUUCCGAAGGUUGCUUAUAAGAAAAGACCCUCUUUUUUUUUAAUCACUUUGCCCAACCUACUUGCAACAGAUCAGAAAUAUCCACAUAUUGUACACAUUGAGGUGGAAACUAAGGACGAACACCGUGAUAAAGCGUCUGCAGUCACUGCAGAACAACCAACUGAUUUGGAAGAGGAGAUGAUAAAAGGUCUGACUCAAGUACCUUGGGAACGUAUAGAUGUUAGCUUUCACAAAAGCAGACAACGGUAUAUUGCUCAUAGUACCAUUCAGGUGAAGAUAUACUGGUUAAAUUCAGAUGGUGCUGAUGUGGUCUUCCAUAUGAUAGAUAACUUCCUUCCCUAACUGUCCGCUACAGUUGGUAAGGAACCAUGUCACAUGGCAUUAAAUUGGUGAGACUUUCCUCUGGCACUGAUGAAAUUCUAUUAAUUGAUCUGUGAGAUGUUUUCAGAUUUUUAACCAAUCGGUUUGAAAUUUGACAAUUGGUUGGAGCGACUUCAGUCACCUGACCAUUUUACAAACAAGGUUGAGAUUCUUUUUUAUGUUUACAUUUUCUACAUAUUGGAGGGAGAGCUUUAGCACAGUGGUAAAGUUGUUCCUUUGGUGACUUGUUGGUCAUAAGAUCAGCUUGGAAAUAGCUUUUUUUCGCAAAAUUUAAAUGCUAGGUUGCAUAGGGAUUUCUCGCCCUCCCCUACCUCACAAUAGACGUGGAGCAUUUUAUACUCUCAACAUGUAGUAGGAAAAGUUUAAACAAACAUACAGUGGGAAGAAUAUUACAAUUUAUCACCUCUGCUGAUAGAUCAUAAUAUGACCUGGUGCAGCUAGUCAUCUUUUGUGUUGGAUGCAUUUUCAUAUGUUAUAAUGUUAUAUAGUCAAUAGUUCUUAUGUAAA